GAAAUGCGAUAAGUAGUGUGAAUUGCAGAAUUCAGUGAAUCAUCGAAUCUUUGAACGCACAUUGCGCUUUCUGGUAUUCCGGAGAGCAUGCCUGUUUCAGAAUCGGCAAUAUUCCUCUUGCUCAGAUGGCUGGUCCGCAAGGACCUGUCUUUGGGGACAAGGACUUGGAUGUUUUUUUUUUUGGGAACAAAAUCAUCCUGAAUCUAUUAAAUACAUGGGUGUGUCCUGCUUCGUUGGAACUGGGCCCAAAGUGCAACAAAAAGCGAGUGCUCUUUAAAAACCACUGGGGCUUUCAGGCAUCCAAUUUGGAUUCAAACAUUUAUUGUACAUGUAUUUCCAAAACCACACGGGGAGGGACCAAAUCUGAUUUUGGCUUUCUCGGAAUCUCGAUCUGAAAUCA
rnacentral:misc_RNA from 1 species